rnacentral:rRNA from 1 species
UACGGAGGAUCCAAGCGUUAUCCGGAAUUAUUGGGUCUAAAGCGUCCGUAGCCGGUCCUGUAAGUCCCUGGUGAAAUCUGGCAGCAAACUGUCAGGCGUGCUGGGGUUACUGCGGGACUCGAGACCGGGAGAGGGCAAAGGUACUCAUGGGGUAGGGGUUAAAUCCUAUAAUCCCAUGGGGACCACCUGUGGCGAAGGCGUUUGCCUGGAACGGGUCUGACGGUGAGGGACGAAAGCUAGGGGAGCGAUCGGG